UCAAAUUUCAAUUUAUGGUGUAAAGAUAACCUACAAACUACAUGUUUUGCACCUAAACUUUUUUGUCCGUUUACUGCUAUCGAAUUUGUUUUUAUAGUAACAGAUUUGCUUUGUCUCCACUUUUUAGGAUUGUAAUCGUGUUGAUUCCCAAUAUCACCUUUACUGAUUCACUUUCUCAACCUUCACAAAGUAACAAUCGCUCUUGUAACCCAGUAGAAGUGGAAAAUUAAACUGUUAUUAUUUAGUUUUUAUUAACAAUGUUUGAAAGAUUCAUGAAACUGUUGUCGUACUGGUAUCUCCAGUAUGAGUUAAUUACUUGCAUUUAUAUGUUUGAACCGUGGGAGAGGAAGCUGCUGAAUUCCAUCAUUCUUCUGGUCGUUUUUCUUGUCUCAUACUCUUCUUACAUGUAUCUUCCGCACUACACCAUAUCGCUCUUGGAACAUCUUAGUCUCACAAAUAGCAGGAUUGACUCAUGAGGACCUGAUAAGCUGCACUGGUAGUUUAUGUGAGGAUUUCACAUUGGAGAGAACAUCACAAGCGGAAAGUGUAUUCUGUCCCAAGUAUGGCUCGAAUGCCAGUGUGAUGCGUGAUGUUUCUAGUGUAAUAUUGCCCACCUAGUACUUAAACUGUAAAUAUAGGAACAAAGUGAUACCAGUAGCUGUGAAUGUUUCAUUGUUUCGUGAUAGGAUGUUUGUUCAGUCCACUCAGAUAUCGAGAUAAUUAUGUAAUGUAUGCAAUAAAUUCCGCAUUUUAGAUUUUAUAAAACAUCUGCCUC